UACGGGGGGAGCAAGCGUUGUUCGGAUUUACUGGGCGUAAAGGGCGCGUAGGCGGUCAGCACAAGUCGGUUGUGAAAUCUCCGGGCUUAACUCGGAAAGGUCAACUGAUACUGUGCGACUAGAGUGCGGAAGGGGCAACUGGAAUUCUCGGUGUAGCGGUGAAAUGCGUAGAUAUCGAGAGGAACACCUGCGGCGAAGGCGGGUUGCUGGGCCGACACUGACGCUGAUGCGCGAAAGCCAGGGGAGCGAACGGG
rnacentral:rRNA from 1 species